UCUCCUCUCCUCUCCUCUCUUUCCCCUCUUCCCCUUCUUUGUUUUCCCUUUUCCCUUUUUCCCUUCUCCCUUCCCUCCCCUCCUCUCCUCCACAGCCUCUUUAUGGUGUUCUCAUAUGCCCUGAAGCUGUCACUAACUUCUCUCUCAUUUUUCUUAAUUUUUUUUAUUAGUAUUACUUCUUUUUUCCCAUUAAGUGACAGGGACAAGGGUUGAAAAUAGAGGUUUUCAGGUCAGAACUGGAAAUAGGUGCUGCUGAGCACGGCCACGUAAGGGCAGAGCUGGGAAGGAAGCACCUCGUGCUGGGGCAGAGGGGCGUCCCCCCACUGGGGACAUCCGGGGGCAUUCGCACAGCUCUGGGCACUGUGGGGUUAUGUGGGGUUUGGGGACGCUCGGCAGCAGCCUGGCUGCACACACAGCGCGUGAUCUGGGACCUGGGCGCCUGGCUGCCAUGGUUACAUGAGCUGUGAUGCUGAAGGCGCCGCUCUCCAUCAAAGGGCAGCGGGGGACGGCGAUCCUACAGAGCUCCAGUGAUCCCACAGAGCUCCAGUGAUCCCACAGGGCUCCAAUGAUCCCACAGAGCUCCAGUGAUCCCACAGGGCUCCAGUGAUCCCACAGAGCUCCAGUGAUCCCACAGGGCUCCAUGAUCCCACAGAGCUCCAGUGAUCCCACAGGGCUCCAGUGAUCCCACAGGGCUCCAGUGAUCCCACAGGGCUCAAUGAUCCCACAAAGCUCCAGUGAUCCCACAGGGCUCCAAUGAUCCUACAGAGCUCCAGUGAUCCCACAGGGCUCCAAUGAUCCCACAGAGCUUCAGUGAUCCCACAGAGCUCCUGUGAUCCCACAGGGCUCCAGUGAUCCCACAGAGCUCCAGUGAUCCCACAGGGCUCCAAUGAUCCCACAGAGCCCUGGGAGCCCCACGCUCAGUUUUACCCCAGAGCUGUGUGACCAUUCCGGGGCUGCAGCUCCUGCCUGCUCCCAGCGCCGCUGCUCUGCUCCCCACCCCCCCCCAGCAGUGGGAGCAGAGCUGCAGGGCUGUGCUGCUGUCCUGGGGGCGCAGGGCUGUGCAGCACCAUCAGCUGCUUCAGCAGCUGUCUGGCAGCAGCAGAUCCCCAUCCCCGUGUGCUGUGGGUGGCACACAGCUGAAACCCCACAGCCCCAGUUCUUUCAGGGGGGGAACGAUGCACACUGAAGUCGUUUCUUCUGAAUUUCUCCAUCAGCACAGAAAUUCCUUACCCACGAGGCACCCAAAGAAGUGUGGGUGCCCCAUCCAUGGAGAUGCUCGUGGCUGUUGGUGAGACUCUGGGAUCCCUUCCAACUUGACUGUGCUGUGGUUUUAUGGGUCUGUGGUCUUCAAGGUCCCUUCCAACUCAACCCAACCCAACAGAAUGCAACCCAGUGUAACCCAACCCAACACAACCC